rnacentral:lncRNA from 1 species
AAGGGACCCUGCCUGCAGCUUCCAGAGCCCAGCGGCUGGGCCAUGCGGAGAGGAACGGACUGGCUGGGACCUGGCAUGGGUCCAGUCCUGCCACCACUUUGCUCCUGGACAGGGUCAUCUGUGCCUCUUUUCAUCCGGGCAAAUAAGAUUCGACGAUGCAGGAAUCUCUGGGACUUUGCUCCUAGGACUGCCCGGGAAUCUUGACCCAUCGCUAAGUAAGAUGGUGUUUAUAAACACAGGGGAACCUCUCAAAGGAACAAAAAGCAUUUAUUCACUCAACCUGGGACUUCAACUUUAUGGAAGAAGUAAGAGAAGAAGAGGAAGAAGAGGAAGAAGAAGCGGUGGCGGCGGAGGAGGAA